ACAGGGAUUGCCCCAGUAACGGCGAGUGAAGCGGCAACAGCUCAAAUUUGAAAUCUGGUCCCCUCGCGGGGCCCGAGUUGUAAUUUGAAGAGGAUGCUUCUGGCAAGGUGCCUUCCGAGUUCCCUGGAACGGGACGCCGCAGAGGGUGAGAGCCCCGUACGGUAGGACGCCGAGCCUCUGUGAAGCUCCUUCGACGAGUCGAGUAGUUUGGGAAUGCUGCUCAAAAUGGGAGGUAAACCCCUUCUAAAGCUAAAUACCGGCCAGAGACCGAUAGCGCACAAGUAGAGUGAUCGAAAGAUGAAAAGCACUUUGAAAAGAGAGUUAAAAAGCACGUGAAAUUGUUGAAAGGGAAGCGCUUGCGACCAGACUCGCGCCCGUCGGAUCAGCCGUCGCUUGUCGGCGGCGCACUCCGGCGGGCUCGGGCCAGCAUCAGUUCGCCUCGGGGGGAGAAAGGCGGCAGGAAUGUGGCUCCUCGGAGUGUUAUAGCCUGCCGUGUAAUACCCCCGGGCGGACUGAGGACCGCGCGUAUGCAAGGAUGCUGGCGUAAUGGUCGUCAGCGACCCGUCUUGAAACACGGACCAAGGAGUCGUCCUAAUAUGCGAGUGUACGGGUGUCAAACCCCUGCGCGUAAUGAAAGUGAACGGAGGUGAGAGCUUCGGCGCAUCAUCGACCGAUCCUGAUGUUCUCGGAUGGAUUUGAGUAAGAGCAUAUUGGGCCGGACCCGAAAGAAGGUGAACUAUGCCUGUGUAGGGUAAAGCCAGAGGAAACUCUGGUGGAGGCUCGCAGCGGUUCUGACGUGCAAAUCGAUCGUCAAACAUGGGCAUGGGGGCGAAAGACUAAUCGAACCUUCUAGUAGCUGGUUUCUG
rnacentral:rRNA from 1 species